rnacentral:lncRNA from 1 species
CCUCAGCAUCUCCUCACGUAAAUGAAAACUCGGUGCUCUUUUGUGAUGCCGGAAUGCACAGAGAUGCACAGAGAUGGCUCUUCACCAGCAAGCAGGCAGGCAGGUCUGCUGAGGAGACCAGUUGGCUGGCCUCCCACUCAUCCUCCCACCUGCUGCUCUGCACCUGGAGAUGGUGUCAGCUCACAGGUUAAGUACUCAGUCCCUCAGACCCAUCCCAUGUCGGACAUCAGCCCCAAGUCCAGGCUUUCUUAACCUCUGACCCAUGUCUACACAAUGGGGCUUUUACUGAUGGGUUUAUCCUAAAGGAUGCGUCAAAAAUGCUAACGAGCAUCGGGUGAAAGUGAAGUCUGGGAGAUUCCUGGGUCAGGAGCCUCUGCUCUUUGCAGUCGGAGCACAACACCCUCCCAGCAGUGAGACUUCCGAGGAUCCCACGAAGCCUGGCUUGACAGUGCUUUCUGUGACAGCGAUUUUACAUCGAUCAAUCUGGGGACCCAGUGGGAAUCAGUGGCAGAAUUACCAGCGCAAGGCAAUUCCCAAUCUCCUUGGCCUGAAGCUGUUGCUCCGUAGAGGAACCAUCGCCCGACAUCCGAGAGACCAUGGACUCCACUCUCAGUACCGAGGAAACAAACAACCCGAGCAGGCCAGCAAGCCAAUAACUAAAAGCAUGGCUUCCUUUCUUUCCCAAGGAAGGCUGUAGAGACCAGCAGUCCUAGUCCCCAAGGUGGCAACUUUCUUCUGGCAACAUAUCUGAAGGCUAAGAGAAUGAGGAGGAGGGGCUUUGCCUGGUGCUACGGACUGUGGUAUGGUGAAGAGAAGAACCAACGCCCCUCCCUCUGCUCACUGGAUUGCCAGUGGGACUGCCAUGUUUUAGCCUCCCAGGGUGCAAAAUCACUAAUCUCCGUGUACACUGAGGAGGCUUAAUUCAGAAGGGGCUUCACUGUAAGUGAUACCUGUGAGACAUCGAACCCGGCCAGACAAUCGAGAAGGGAAUUUCAGACUUUGGAGACUGGGUGGGAAGAUUACAUACAUGGCCUUUGAGACUUCAGAAUCAAUGACUCCGAGUAGUCAUUCGAGAACAGUUCUGGAAAUGUUGAUUGUUGAAAUAAGCUGUGUGGAAUAGUUUCCAUUGGCCUCUCUGGGAGGCUUGCAUAGCAUCUUCUGACUCCAGAGAAUGAUCUGGACUAAACCUGAGAGCUCCUGCACCCUCAGUCUGGUGGAAAGCCCUGUGAGAAAUGGUGGGGAAGGAGGCAAAUGAGGCCAGGGUGUUUCAUCCUGAAUCUCUCUGUUCCUGUGGCUCCUGUGGCUUCUUCAUGAACCGCACUCCUUAAUCUCUCUAGGCAUAGUGUGCUGGUUCUGAGUCUUCACUGUCCUUUCCCACCGCUGAAGCCUAGAGGUAGGUGGGAGGUGCUCAGCUAUUGCUGCUGAUCUUGGGUCUCUGGCUGCUCUGCAUCUUGUUGUUCCCUUUAUUGGCUGCAGUGUUGUAAGUAAUCCCUUUGCUAGACUAUAGCCAACCAGCCUGUGCAUGUAUGUGUGCAUAUGUGUGCAUGCAUGCUCUGUGUGUGUGUGUGUGUGUGUGUGUGUGUGUGUGGAGAGAGAGAGAGAGAGAGAGAGAGAGAGAGAGAGAGAGAGAGAGAGAGAGAUUUAGUUUUCCCAAUAUGCUGACAGAUCCACCUGUCUAAAUAGGUAAAGUAAAGGAU